rnacentral:rRNA from 1 species
GAUGAACGCUGGCGGCGUGCCUAAUACAUGCAAGUCGAGCGAACAGACGAGGAGCUUGCUCCUCUGACGUUAGCGGCGGACGGGUGAGUAACACGUGGAUAACCUACCUAUAAGACUGGGAUAACUUCGGGAAACCGGAGCUAAUACCGGAUAAUAUAUUGAACCGCAUGGUUCAAUAGUGAAAGACGGUUUUGCUGUCACUUAUAGAUGGAUCCGCGCCGCAUUAGCUAGUUGGUAAGGUAACGGCUUACCAAGGCAACGAUGCGUAGCCGACCUGAGAGGGUGAUCGGCCACACUGGAACUGAGACACGGUCCAGACUCCUACGGGAGGCAGCAGUAGGGAAUCUUCCGCAAUGGGCGAAAGCCUGACGGAGCAACGCCGCGUGAGUGAGGAAGGUCUUCGGAUCGUAAAACUCUGUUAUUAGGGAAGAACAAAUGUGUAAGUAACUAUGCACGUCUUGACGGUACCUAAUCAGAAAGCCACGGCUAACUACG